rfam:Octopus bimaculoides Scaffold62493_contig_73, whole genome shotgun sequence.
UCAAAUAUGUUGCUUCGACAAUACUAAAACUGGAACGAUACGGAGAUUAGCAUGGGCCUUUGCGCAACGACGACACACAAAUUCGUGAAGUGUUCCAUAUUUUC